CUCCCAUUCUUUCCGGCGAGCAACAAUGCUCGAGAAUUCUCUCGAUUCUUCAUACUUGGCGCUCGCAAAAGGGAAGAGCACGAAAGAGGAGUGAGAGCUCGCUCAAUUAAACAAAGGUCUAUGGUUUCCCACAAUCAGCUAAUGGGAUGUUAGCAGUCCCCAUGAAGAAAGAAACUAAUGAGAUGUCAGUGCCUCUGGAAUUAAAGACUUCCCGAACUCAAGCAAUCACUCAACACUGAAGUGGAGGAACUUCGAUCUGUAACUGUUGCUCUGGCAACACUUGUAAUUUCCAAAUUUCAUCUAAAAUGUGUUAAAUCAACUUGCUGACUCAAAUUAGAAAUUUCAAAAACUGAAGACCACUCUUUAGCAGCAGCAAGAUGAUGUAACUACUAGCCUUCGGAACUUUGGGCUACAGGACGUGACAGGAGAUUCCAAGGUUGAUGAUACUGAGGUUGAAGGGAAGGAUCACAAAGAAUCAGAUGUAUCAACCCCAGAGGAUGAUGUUAAAGAAGCUGAAAGCUAGAUGGGUCUUAUUGUGGAGCAGACAUCAUUUAUGUUUAUUCCUGAAGGAAAGAUGAUUGUAUUGAAUCUCUAUAUGUUGUGUCUUUCUAGUUUUGGACGCGGACACAACCUUGUUGUCUUUCAUUAUGUAGAACUCUUCUGAACCAAAUUAUGUGUGGAAUUUUGUGUAGU